AGUUGGAUUCGCUAGUAAUCGCGCAUCAGCCAUGGCGCGGUGAAUACGUUCCCGGGCCUUGUACACACCGCCCGUCAAGCCAUGGGAGCCGGGGCGCCUGAAGUCCGGGACCGCGAGGACCGGCCUAGGGCGAAACUGGUAACUGGGCUAAGUCGUAACAAGGUAUC
rnacentral:rRNA from 1 species